rnacentral:rRNA from 1 species
AAUGAACGCUGGCGGCGCGCCUAACACAUGCAAGUCGAGCGCGAAAGUCCCUUCGGGGAUGAGUAGAGCGGCGGACGGGUGAGUAACACGUGAGAAUUUGCCCUUUAGUGAGGAAUACCCCUGAGAAAUUAGGGUUAAUACCGCAUACGUUCCUUCGGGAAGAAAGGUGGCCUCUUUGCUGCCGCUAAAGGAUAAGCUUGCGGUCUAUUAGCUAGUUGGUAGGGUAAUGGCCUACCAAGGCGAUGAUGGAUAGCCGGCCUGAGAGGGUGAACGGCCACACUGGAACUUAGACACGGUCCAGACUCCUACGGGAGGCAGCAGUGGGGAAUAUUGCGCAAUGGGCGAAAGCCUGACGCAGCGACGCCGCGUGGAGGAUGAAGGUCUUAGGAUUGUAAACUCCUGUUAAGUGGGAAGAAAGAUCCGCCUUUAAUAGAGGCGGAAGAUGACUGUACCAUUAGAGAAAGCACCGGCUAACUUCGUGCCAGCCGCCGCGGUAA